UGGGGAAUAUUGCACAAUGGGCGCAAGCCUGAUGCAGCCAUGCCGCGUGUAUGAAGAAGGCCUUCGGGUUGUAAAGUACUUUCAGCGGGGAGGAAGGUGUUGAGGUUAAUAACCUCAGCAAUUGACGUUACCCGCAGAAGAAGCACCGGCUAACUCCGUGCCAGCAGUCGCGGUAAUACGGAGGGUGCAAGCGUUAAUCGGAAUUACUGGGCGUAAAGCGCACGCAGGCGGUCUGUCAAGUCGGAUGUGAAAUCCCCGGGCUCAACCUGGGAACUGCAUUCGAAACUGGCAGGCUAGAGUCUUGUAGAGGGGGGUAGAAUUCCAGGUGUAGCGGUGAAAUGCGUAGAGAUCUGGAGGAAUACCGGUGGCGAAGGCGGCCCCCUGGACAAAGACUGACGCUCAGGUGCGAAAGCGUGGGGAGCAAACA
rnacentral:rRNA from 1 species